GCCAGACUCCUACGGGAGGCAGCAGUGAGGAAUAUUGGUCAAUGGGCUUACGCCUGAACCAGCCAAGUCGCGUGAGGGAAGACUGCCCUAUGGGUUGUAAACCUCUUUUGUCAGGGAGCAAUUGGCGCUACGUGUAGCGUUAUCGAGAGUACCUGAAGAAAAAGCAUCGGCUAACUCCGUGCCAGCAGCCGCGGUAAUACGGAGGAUGCGAGCGUUAUCCGGAAUUACUGGGCGUAAAGGGCGCGUAGGUGGGUGCUUAAGUCAGGUGUGAAAACUCUGGGCUCAACCUGGAGACUGCACUUGAAACUGGGUAUCUUGAGGGCAGGAGAGGAAAGUGGAAUUCCUAGUGUAGCGGUGAAAUGCGUAGAUAUUAGGAGGAACACCAGUGGCGAAGGCGACUUUCUGGACUGUACCUGACGCUGAGGCGCGAAAGCGUGGGUAGCGAACGGGAUUAGAUACCCUGGUAC
rnacentral:rRNA from 1 species